rnacentral:snRNA from 1 species
CUGAAGGAUAUCUGGCUCUGACAUUCUUCACCGCAUCACCAGGGUGAUUCAGUUGAUCUGCUGACUAGGCUGGAUCCUCUUCCUCUUCUGGGUUUUAUGUAUAUCUGUCCAGAAGGUGAUUCUGUGAGAUUGAAGAGAACCACCUUUCCUGAAAGAGUCUUCAGUUAAGGGUACAGGAAUAGCUGUGCUUCUCUGCUGGAACUUCCAGGCUGAACUUACUGAGAGAGGCUCCCAAGGUUGAACUUUCUGAGAGAAGAAACUCU